GACGUAGGGCGCGAGCGUUGUCCGGAUUUACUGGGCGUAAAGGGCGCGUAGGCGGCCACGACAAGUCAGCUGUGAAAUCUCCGGGCUUAACCCGGAACGGUCAGCUGAUACUGUCGGGCUAGAGUGCAGAAGGGGCAACUGGAAUUCUCGGUGUAGCGGUGAAAUGCGUAGAUAUCGAGAGGAACACCUGCGGCGAAGGCGGGUUGCUGGGCUGACACUGACGCUGAGGCGCGAAAGCUAGGGGAGCGAACGGG
rnacentral:rRNA from 1 species